rnacentral:snoRNA from 1 species
AACAUCAGUAGUGGUUAUACUAUCUCAAGAUAAUAUAAUUACAUUUCAGGAGCUUACGGUAACAGAUCUCUCACUUGCUUACGCAGGUGGUGGUCUGGCCGGUCAGUUGAGGGGUACCUUGAGUCUUCCAAAAAGCCUCGGUGGGUAUUCUUCCGUUCCCUGCUUCAAUGAGUGAAUACUAGAUCGUUCGGGGUACUGCAAGUACAUUC